AAAGGUAGCAUAAUCAUUAGAGGUUUAAUUGGAAUCUGGAAUGAAGGGUUGGACAAAGGAAGAACUGUCUACUUGGUGAAAUUUGAAGUUUACUUUUAAGUGAGAAGGCUUAAAUGAGUCAAAGGGACGAUAAGACCCUAUAAAGCUUUAUAUAUAAUUUAUAUUUAGUUGAUUUAAAUAUAAAAAUUAAAUUUAAUUGUUUUAUUUUGUUGGGGUGAUGUGAGUAUAAAUUAAAUAACUGCUUAAAAAAAGUUCUUUUAUAAAAGAUUUAUUUAGUGAAUGAUCCUUUUUAAAGAUUAAAAGAUUAAGUUACUUUAGGGAUAACAGCGUUAUUUUUUUUGAGAGUUCAUAUCGAAAAAGAAGAUUGCGACCUCGAUGUUGAAUUAAAAUAUCUAUAUAGAUGCAGCCGCUAUAAAAGAAGGUCUGUUCGACCUUUAAAUU
rnacentral:rRNA from 1 species